rnacentral:rRNA from 1 species
GUGAGGAAUAUUGGUCAAUGGGUGCAAGCCUGAACCAGCCAUCCCGCGUGAAGGACGACUGCCCUAUGGGUUGUAAACUUCUUUUGUAUAGGGAUAAACCUACCCUCGUGAGGGUAGCUGAAGGUACUAUACGAAUAAGCACCGGCUAACUCCGUGCCAGCAGCCGCGGUAAUACGGAGGGUGCAAGCGUUAUCCGGAUUUAUUAGGUUUAAAUGGUCCGUAGGCGGACUUAUAAGUCAGUGGUGAAAGCCUGUCGCUUAACGAUAGAACUGCCAUUGAUACUGUAAGUCUUGAGUAUAUUUGAGGUAGCUGGAAUAAGUAGUGUAGCGGUGAAAUGCAUAGAUAUUACUUAGAACAACUAUUGCGAAGGCAGGUUACCAAGAUAUAACUGACGCUGAGUGACGAAAGCGUGGGGA